UAGUUCUUGAACAAAAUUAUGCAAAAAUAUUAAAACAAGCCUACUAAGCAUUACAUCAAUUCGCAAAAUAUUAAACUUGAAGAAGCCUACUAAGCAUUACAACAACUCACAAAAUAUUAAACUUAUGUCCAAAGCUCGAAUGACAUUGACAAAAUUAAGCGUUGAACAUCAAAGACUACUAUGACCAGAAGCUCUUACGGUACAAAUAAAGCAUAUAGCAAAUACAAAUUGACAUCACCCAUUCACGUCGGUCCCUUCCCCUUCCCAUCACUUUCUACAAUUCCUUUUCCUCAGCGAACUGUAACAUGCAAUGUUAUGUCCACGUAUAGUUUCUCGGUAAUUCGAGCUAGGCUAUCAAAGACUCUUGGCAAGUCUUCGUAUUCCUCGUUGGGCUCAUGCUUCACCUCUUCGUUAACGGUACUUGACUCCCCAAUUAAAUCUUCAUUUUUCACCCAAUCCAAAUAUCCAAAAUCAUUACUACACAUGAAGAACACGCACAAUAUACCGUUCUACCUCGAAACAUUUCCGAAAUCCAUUUUUACAUGAAGGGCAUCCACGUUUUGUUUGGCAUUGUCCAAAGUAGUGAGUGUUACUUCUACAACCGUGACAAAUUCCUACUGACGAAACAAAAAAACGCCACAUGAAUGCGACUGAAUUAUGAAAUCCCACAUUCGAACUUAUGAAUAGUAGCACAUUACAAACAAAGUUAUAGUGGAAAAUGAGGAACAAAUAGAAGUCUCAUUCAAAAGAACACAGGAUCCCUCAUUUGACGGCUAAGAUGCUCCCUUCACUAUACACAAAAGGUGCAUCGUUGCAGUACCGUUGUUGCUUAUAAUCUUGAUAUUCAUUGUUUUGUUUGAUUAUGAAGAAAUGGUGCUUAUAUUAUGAUACAUGCUUCAAGUUCAUAAUGCUUCGUGGUUCUUCGGGCUUCUAUUCUUAUACCAUUUACGAACACAUAGAGGAUAUGGCUGCAUUCAACCUCAACGAAACCAGAAUUGCCUUCAUGCUUAGCAUAUAAAAGUUGGCACACUUAAGCAUAAUUCAUCUGGUAACUUAACAAAAGUAUUCCCAUA
rnacentral:lncRNA from 1 species